UGGGGAAUCUUGGACAAUGGGGGCAACCCUGAUCCAGCCAUGCCGCGUGAGUGAUGAAGGCCUUAGGGUUGUAAAGCUCUUUCACCGGUGAAGAUAAUGACGGUAGCCGGAGAAGAAGCCCCGGCUAACUCCGUGCCAGCAGCCGCGGUAAUACGGAGGGGGUUAGCGUUGUUCGGAAUUACUGGGCGUAAAGCGCACGUAGGCGGACCAGAAAGUUGGGGGUGAAAUCCCGGGGGCUCAACCCCGGAACUGCCUCCAAAACUAUUGGUCUAGAGUUCGAGAGAGGUGAGUGGAAUUCCAAGUGUAGAGGUGAAAUUCGUAGAUAUUUGGAGGAACACCAGUGGCGAAGGCGGCUCACUGGCUCGAUACUGACGCUGAGGUGCGAAAGUGUGGGGAGCAAACAGGAUUAG
rnacentral:rRNA from 1 species